GGCCCUUUAGCUCAGUGGUUAGAGCAGGCGACUCAUAAUCGCUUGGUCACUGGUUCAAGUCCAGCAAGGGCCACCA
rnacentral:tRNA from 1 species